CCUUCUGUGGUGUAACUGGCAAACAUGUCAGCCCUCUGGGUUGAAAAUCCAGGUUCGAACCCUGGCAGAAGGA
rnacentral:tRNA from 1 species